CUAGACACUUUUUCCGUCACACAGAGCCAAAAAAAUGAAUAAAGCCAUAAACACGAAAAGUCAAGACAACGAAGAAGGAGCAGCGACAUAAAAAACUAUUUUUUCUCUUACUUUCCUUAUUUAGACAAAGUUACAUCAGCAGAAAACAGAGUGCCCUGGCCUACAGUCCAUAACGACGCAGGCUGAUGCAUUUAAUAUAUGAAGGAACAUUUGCUGAAACCCAGGGCCAUAAAUCAUACCUAAAGCCCUUUCAGUGCACUGUUUUCUUCCUUAAUUUACCCUCCGUCUUCUUGUGGCUCAGAUCACCGAGGAACUCACUGAGAGCAUUGUUCUUGCUGCCAGCUCACUUGGCAUAUCUAGUUUUAUUUAGAGCCCUCCGGCUGUUUGGCAGCAGGAUGAAGUAAGCGGUGUUCAAGGUAUUUAUGAGGUUGUCCUCGUAUAACCUUUUUUUUUAAAUCAACAGUUUGACUAAUGCAUGUGACAGUAAACUUGAUGUUGGCAGCAGCUAUGAAGAAGUUGUCUCUCUGAGUGAUGUUGGCUGUGACAGCUGCCAAGACAACAUGUAUUCAUUACCGUAGGAUUUAAACUGAGUGACUUGUGUGAAAGACAACAUGUAAGAGUCAGUGCCUGGACUUUUAUAAUCAUACAGCUACAAAUCGCUCCACUUUAAAAAAAAGAAAAAGAAAAAGAGAGAGAGAAAAACAUUAGUUGCCGGUGUUCUAUUUUUUAAGUAUGGGUUAAAAACCACAACAUAGUUGACUGCAUUAGGACACGUGGAUUCUGGUGGAAAUGCUUAUGGUGACUGUUUAAAUGUGGAGCAGUUAUCAAAUAAUUAUGUACAAUACAUCAAUAGAAUAGAAUCAUACAAUAGACCAGCCAUCCAUAUAUAAUUAUAUAUGUAUGGUUGAUCUCCUCAGACAUUUUAAUGCCACUACAGUGUCCUAUGAUAAGCAGUGAUGCCCGUGUGUAUUUUCUUGGUUUCGUUUGUUGGAACACCCCUGGAUAACAGUCAUCACUAUUGGAAAAAUAAUAACAAUAAAAAAAUAAAUAAUAAGUGGCAGUAAUGCAAUUUAAAAUAUAUAAGACAAUUUGAAAUUAGCAGGAUUGGCUAACUUUGGCCAGGAUUUAGAUUAAAAUAUUGGUAGAAAAAAGUCACUAACUUUGCAGAAUUCAAUGAUGAUGAUAAAGUUUUUCAAAGAGUGCAGCUCUAAUUAACCGUGGGCCUGUGCAAACCUGUGCACCAUUGUAAACAGUCCAACAAAGUCUGACCAUUGUGCUCAAUAAUUCCCUCCUUCAGUAUAUGGCUUUAAUAUUUUCUGGGUAUAUUGCAUCAACAUCAUCGUCAUCAUGUAUUUUUAUAUUAUAACUAGCUGCAGCUUCAUUGUGACAGAAAUAUACGUCAGAAUAUUUUUUGUUGUGUUAUUUUAAUUUGGAGUUCUUGCCUCUUCCAGCUUUCCCAUAAUCCUUUGCGUGCACCUACGGCUGCAUCCGGUGCCACCUGUUGACUGCGGUAAAUCUUAAAGUGUAAUAAAGUCGCUCCACUGGUGUUUUAGUCUUUUAUUUAUUUAUGGAAUUCAUUUAUUUUUGCUCCCCUGUUUAUUCGCUUCUUAUUUUACCGUUUAAAUGAUGUUAUAGGCUGGCGUAUCUAUGUGUUAAAAAAUGCGUCUGUUAUCAACUCGUGUCUUUUAGGUUUAAUUAAGUACUGCGGGUGAGAAGGAUCUUCCUGUCGCAGCUGUUUUGGUGGACGGAGGCUGACUGAGCAGAACCAUGAAUUUCCAACUGCUGACAGACGAAAAUACUGGUUUCUUAUUCGUCCAACAUUGGGGAACUUCACAGUGUGAGUCUUUGCAACCCAAACAGGCUGCCACAGGAGGCACCUUUAGGGAUAUGUGGUUCCUCCAGGGCUCGAACCCAGG